UAAAGCCGAACACCUUCAGAACUGUCAUACGUUUCCGAAGGUAUGAAGCCCUACCACGAAAGUGGCUUUAUUCCCCCUGACCCCACGAAAGCUGUGAAACAAACUGGGAUUAGAGACCCCACUAUGCCCAGCCCUAAACUCUGAUAGUACCCUACACCCACUAUCCGCCAGGGAACUACGAGCAUUAGCUUAAAACCCAAAGGACUUGGCGGUGCUUUAGAUCCACCUAGAGGAGCCUGUUCUAGAACCGAUAACCCCCGUUAAACCUCACCCUCUCUUGCCAUUUCCGCCUAUAUACCGCCGUCGUCAGCUUACCCUAUGAAGGCAUUAUAGUAAGCAAAACUAGUAUAACCCAAAACGCCAGGUCGAGGUGUAGCAUAUGAGAGGGGAAGAAAUGGGCUACAUUCCCUGUCUCCCCGGGAACACGAACAGUGUAAUGAAAAGUACAUUAGAAGGAGGAUUUAGCAGUAAGCAUAAAAUAGAGUGUUUUGCUGAAACUGGCCCUGAAGCGCGCACACACCGCCCGUCACCC
rnacentral:rRNA from 1 species